GAAAUGCGAUAAUUAAUGUGAAUUGCAGAAUUCAGUGAAUCAUCGAGUCUUUGAACGCACAUUGCGCCCCCUGGUAUUCCGGGGGGCAUGCCUGUCCGAGCGUCAUUGCUGCCCUCAAGCACGGCUUGUGUGUUGGGCUUCCUUCCCUGGCAACGGGGACGGGCCCAAAAGGCAGUGGCGGCACCAUGUCUGGUCCUCGAGCGUAUGGGGCUUUGUCACCCGCUCCCGUAGGUCCAGCUGGCAGCUAGCCUCGCAACCAAUCUUUUUAACCAGGUUGACCUCGGAUCAGGUAGGGAUACCCGCUGAACUUAAGC
rnacentral:misc_RNA from 1 species